rfam:Schistosoma curassoni strain Dakar, Senegal genome assembly, scaffold: SCTD_contig0001108
AUCUAUCUGACGAGUCCUAAAUAGGACGAAACUCACGUCAUACUGGAU